UUCGAAUCCACCUGGAUCUUUUCUCAAUAGCUUUUAUAGAGCAAGGCUCUGUAAUGGGGUGAUUGAUAAUAGAAUAAUAUAUUAUUUAGUAAAGUUAAUCAUUUAUUUUUUUUAUAUUUUCAAAGUAUCAAUCAGUCGUUUGCAUUGGAUUUUAUUCACUUAUUAUGUGUAUUUUUAUUAAUUUUAUUCUUAAUUAAGGGGUGUAUAGAAGGCCAAUAAAGAAUAAUAGUAUUAAUGGUGAUAAAUAUAGAAAAAAAAAUUAUUAAAAUUGAAAAAAAUUUUAUUAAAUUAAAAUUAAUAAGUAAUUGUAUUUUUCGAAAUGUGAUAAUUGAAUCAUUAAUUUUAUUAUAAAUAGAGAUUAAAUAAUAAUUUUUUUCUUCAAAAUAUAGCGGCAAAUGCUGCAAUGGAAUUGUUAUUCGUAUCCGUCUUACCUUUUUAUGUCUUUAACAGAUGGGUAUCCCUUUGCAGUGGAUUAAAUUGAAGUUCCUUCAUCACUACAGCUUCAUUUCAUUCUCUUAUGGUAGGAUGAUUUCUCUUGAAUUUUCUGAACCUGCUUUUUCUAUUUUUCGGACACAUACACUUGUUUUGUAGUGUCUAGUGCUGUGAGUCGCAUCGCAUCGGCUACGUAUUUUCUCUUUUUAUUUCCCCUCUCUUUCGUCAGGUUUCCUUUUUCUUUGGUAUUCUUAGACUAAAAGUUGUGGUUGGCAUUGCCAGGUCAUUGUCUGUGUUCUGUGGCGUUGAGUAAGAGACAAAUCUUACCUAUUCUUGGACCAGUUUCUUUAUAUUUGAUUCUUUUUCUUAGUUGGAAUGAUGCUUCUGUUAGUGCUUUGCAAAUUCCACGAAAGGUAUCAAUCUUUCGAAGCGAUAUUCUCAAAGAUUGUAAUUGAUAAUUGCCGAGUGGUAUGAAGAUCCUUUCCAGAACGUCUAAGAGUAAGCCAAGGGUAGGAAAAGAUCAAUAGAAAAAUGUCCAAAGCAUGGAGUUGUUGUUGACUUUUAUUGGGUAUGGUUGGUAUUGGUUGCCACUCGCCCUUCCCACUUGUCACCAUCUUUCUCUCACUCAACAGGAUGACAUUACAAUAGAAAAUUACAGAGUUAAGACAAAAAAACAUGUGUUUCCACCAUGAGUGGAUCGCCAGAUAAACUAUUCGGUACAUACUCUUAUGCCAAGUUAGCAUGUUAAUUCAAUACAUGAAUACAUGACAAGGCAAUCAUUUUUAAAUGUUAAAAUGCUAAUAACAUGUUGAUUUUAUAUAUUUAAAACAUGCUAUUAUCUUCUAAUGUA
rnacentral:misc_RNA from 1 species